rnacentral:misc_RNA from 1 species
GAUGAAGAACGCAGCGAAAUGCGAAAAGUAAUGUGAAUUGCAGAAUUCAGUGAAUCAUCGAAUCUUUGAACGCACAUUGCGCCCGCUGGUACUCCGGCGGGCACGCCUGUCCGAGCGUCAUUUCAACCCUCAAGCCCUCCUUCGGGAUGGGCCUGGUGUUGGGGCUCGGCCGCCAUCUCCGGCGGCCGUCCCCUAAAUACAGUGGCGGUCACGUCGCGACUCCUUUGCGUAGUAGAAACACAUCGCUCCGGAUAGCAACGCGGUCCACGCCGUAAAACCCCCAAUUUUCAAUGGUUGACCUCGGAUCAGGUGGGAAUACCCGCUGAACUUAAGCAUAUCAAUAAGCGGAGGA